CGUUGAGCUCAGCGCGCAGCGGAAAGGACGCACUCGUGGUCGCGCGGCUGUGAUGCGCGGCGGAGGAUCCGCGACGCGGCAAACGCGCUUCACCCAGCAGGUGGAUGUGACGUCACGGACCUGGAACAUCAAAAACAACAACAUCCAAAUCGGCGAUUCUCGCCCUCUCGCAUGUUUUCUCCCCUUCUUCUCCCUCCGUGUAACCAUCUGAACAUCAGCCGAGGAGGAGGAGAGCAGCUCGCGCGUUUCCCCGCCAGCACCGGGAGUCAGCGCGCGCCAAACUCCACGUUUCGCUUCUUUUUCCUCGACGCCCUCCUCGGCGAGACGAGCUUUUUCCUCCUCGUAGUUAAGUUAGUAAGUUAGUCCCCCACCUCCUCCUCCUCCACCGGCACCUCCUCCUCCACCGGCACCUCCACCUCCACCGGCCGCUGUUGACGGUGCGAUCUGUUGUCGCGUGCACGGCUCCGUUAUUGCAUCGGUAGCCCCGCGCGUGUCCACGCGGUUUUUGACCAGGUUCCACACACUGCAGCAGGGAUCUUGGCCCUCUCCUGGAGACGAGCUAGGCCACUCCAGGACCUUCGGCUGCUUCUUUCUCCUUAGCUGCCCCGGCUGUGUGUUUUGGGUCGUCAUGCUGGAAGACUCAGCCAAGACCCAUCUUCAGUGCUCUCACUGAGGGGAGGUUUUUAUCUGGCGAUACAUACAAACACGGCCAGUGGAGUUUAGACUAAAAAGCUCUAUUUUUGUCUCAUUAGACCACAUGACCUUCUCUCGUACCGCCUCUGGAUCAUCCAGAUGCUCAUUGGCAAACUUCAGACAUCUAGACCUGCGCUGGUUUGAGCAGGAGGACCUUGCGUGCGCUGCAGGAUCUUAACCCGUGGCGACGUAGUGUGUCACUAAUGGUGGUCCCAGCUCUCUUCAGCUCAUUGGCCAGCGCCGUGUGCUUCUGGGCUGAUCCCUCACCCUCCUCGUGACCAUUGAUGCCCCACGAGGUGAGAUCUUACAUGGAGCACCAGACCGAGGGAGAUUGGCCGUCAUCUUGAACUUCUUCCAUUUUCUAAUAAUUGCUCAAGCAGCUGUUGGCUUCUCACCAAGCAGCUUGUCUGUUGUCCCGUAGCCCGUCUAGAACUCUCUCCCUGAUGUCCUUACACAGCUCUUGUCCAUUGUGCAGAGUCUGUUUGGUUGACAGGUCUCCUACUGGUUGCUGGAUGACGCAUCGCUGCAGGAAGCAAGCUGAUUUGAGACGCGAUGAAGACAACAAAUAGAAGAAUAACUGAAGCGAGUUGGUUUUGUGUGUGUUGUGGUUUGCGUUGACAUUUGACACCUGCUUCAGGGGAGUGAGGUUCUGACACCUAAUCAGGAUGCGUAUCGUUAGAGCUGUUUAAACCAACAAAACGUAGCAGAUUUAACAUUUAACCAACACUGCCAGAUUCCUGCACACUAUUCCCUGUUCAAGUAAUAACUUAAAGCCUUCUCAAAUAGAGCGGCCCUUGUCUGUUUUGGGAAUGAUGCAGGUAAGCUACAAACAUUCCCACCCAGGCGUGAGGGGGCUCAGCCAGAUGCUCAGCUGCCGGGCCGCACCGCACCACCUGUUUCCAUCAGCUGUCCAGGCGGCCCGGUGGACUUUCUGUCAAAGAUGCAUCAAUGAGUGUUUACACCGAUGGUGCAGUCUCUGAAGUCAAGGAUCGACUCACCUUUGGGACGCGUUCGUGAAAGCCUGGAGGUGUGAUGCACGUUGUCGUCUCUCUUGUUUGCGGCGAUUUAGGUUGUAGCGGUCCGAUCUCGCAAGGCUCCUCUGGUUUAUUUUGUGUUUAAACGCCGUCGCCCGCUCCGCGGUGCUCCGCGCUAAUCGGGCCGCAGGUGGAAUAACGAUGUUGGGCUGAACCAGAGCGGAGAAAGACAAACCAUGAAAAAAAUGCCACUUAAGGCGCGCUAACUCUCGUCGGCAGCUUGAUGUAAAGCCCGGUAGCAGGAGCACGUCUUUAAGGGCCUCAUCCUCCACUUCUGCUCUCAGCUGGCAGUCCCGGCCUAAUAAGAAACACGACAUGGCAGGGCCCGCUCCUCCGUCGUCAUCGCCGCGUGGAAAAGUUGCCGUUGCUUUGAUCAUGUCUUCUGGGCGCAUCACUCCGGCUUAGCCCGCCGCUCGCUACGUGAUAAGCCAUCAGAGCACUCAGAUCUAAGCCGGCAGCUCCACGGGCUCCAGGAGAGACGGGCGGGAGCGCCGGAGACGAGGAGAGAGCGCCGAUGCAAAUUUUGUUGACAGACUGUUGCCGCAGCUGUUCUCUUCUGCCUUUGAAUUCCGCGAUGUUGCUGUCCGUCUUUGCUCGUCUGUGCGGGAAAGGGCCAAGUUGCAAGACUUUCUCUCCUUAUUGUGGAACGGCGCCGUUCUCGUGUGGUGACUCGGCCACGUUGGCAAUAAGAAAUGCCUUUUUAAAAUUCGACUCAUCGAUUACUCGCCUCAAAAAAAGCCCGAGUUCAUUAUUGCACAACGCGUACCGUGCAAGCGCUGCGUUGUCGCGCCGCUCUCGUCCCGUCUGCAUAAAUCAGGCUUUUCUUUGGACCCCCCAUUAUGAAAGGGCGCUCCUAAUUGACGGGAUGUUGCUUGUUUAUUUGAUGUAUAUUUACCGGCUGGGUGGUAAUUGGGGAGCAGUAAUUACCUGAGAUGCAGCCCGGCGCUCCGGCGGAGGUGCUGCCACGCUGAUGAGUGUGGAGCACGGAGGGAAGUUACUGUCGUCGUCCUCGGGGCUGUUUAAAUAUGUGACAGCGGAGAGCCGCGAUGGCUAAUUGGGCCCCGCGUCCCUCGUACGGGUUUCCGUGUUUACCGUGAUGAUGCACGGUGCGAGAUAAAGCGCGGCGCUUUGUGCAAUCUUUUCUUUUUUGCAGGCCCAUUUGUUGCCAACGUACCUGAGCAGUUCAUAGCAACAAUAAAAAGAGUCCCUUCUGGAUAUCGAGGGAAAGUGUUCUCGAGCUACUCGCUCGCCCACGGUGAAGUCAUGCUGACGCCUUCUGCUGUUUGCCAGCUAUUCGUGGAAGGCGGUGACGGUAUCUUCCCAGACUCCAGAUGAUUCAGUUGACCUGAGCCUGGAGACUCCGGCGGCGACGUCCUGUGGAGCCAGAGAUCAAAGGCGAGGAGGCUGUUGCGCCACCUUUGGAUCUGAAGAUUGCUUUUAAAUAAAAGCAAGUCCACACAGCAGGUUUUUUUUUUUUUUUUUUAAAGCCAUGAUGCAAGAAUCUGGGACGGAGGCGACGAGCAACGGAGCGCCUACUCAGAUGGAGGCGCGGGGGCGGAGAGCAGGCCCAGGGAGGCCCGACCCGAGAGCGCCGCGCCGUCGAUGGAGGUGACCGCGGCUGACCUCCUGCAGCUGCAGCAGCACCAGAUAGGCCCGCCCCCCCCAUUCGCACCUGUCUCGGUUUCAUCAAGCCAGGUCAACAGCAGGCUGCUGCCUCCCUCUUAAGGUGCCACUUAAUAUUUAAUCCCACCUCCAAGUACAUCGAGUACAUAAACACAUUAUUAUUAUUAUUUAUGUAUAU
ensembl:lncRNA